rnacentral:tRNA from 1 species
UACUAGGUAGUAGAAUUAAAUUACGUUGGACUUAAAAUUCAAAGGUGGGGGUUCCCCUCUGGUGGC